CCAGCUCCUGGAAACCAUAGGAGGAGUGAGUGUUCUUGUGCUCAAAUCCUGCUUCCUCAGCCUCUUUGGGUGGCUUCCAGCAAAAUAUUUAAAAAAUAAUAAAAUGUCAAACUUUAAAAACUUCCCAAUACAGGGCUGCCUUCAGAUGUAAUCUAAAAGUAUUGUAGUUCUUUAUCUCCUUGACAUCUGAUGGAAAGGCAUUCCACAGGAAGGGUGCCACUACCGAGAAUGCCCUCUGCCUGGUUCCCUGCAACUUCACUUCUCGCAGUGAGGGAACUACCCAAAGGCCCUCAGGGCUAGACCCAGCAGGCUAUUCUUAUGCUGUUAUGCAGAAGAGAAGAGGAUAGAAAUACAACUAGAAUUACUUGGCUCUGCCUGUCCUUGUCUCUGUCUCCACCUACUUUUGGCCCCUCUGCUUUCCUUCCUACCACUGCCCUAGCUACCAUCAUCUAUUAAUAAAUCAUGUUAGAUCAGUGCCUCCCCUCUCUCUAUAUAUAUGGAGAGAGAGAGAGAGAGAGAGAGAGAGAGAGAGAGAGAGAGAGUACACCCCCCCCGAUCACCCUUUGCCAUCCUGGUACCCUACAGAAAUUUUAGACUACACCUUUCAGCAGCCCCUUGCCAGCACAGCCAUGUGAUGAAAGUUGUACUCCAAAACACCACGGUUAGGGAAGGCUUCCCUGGCCAAGGUGGACCAGACUUCAGGCUUACUGGAUCCACAAAUUCAAGUCUGUUGCAAAACAAAACAAAACAAAACAAAACAAAACAAAACAAAACAAAACAAAACAAAACAAAACAAAACAAACAAAACACAAUUCAGAUCCCAGCAAUGUGUUUUGAGUACCAGAACUGAAUGGAGCUACAGUCCUUCUACAAACCCACCCUGUGUACCCCAAGCUUUCUUCAUUUCAGCACUAUAACUUUGGUCUUGGGAGAAGUCGUUGUCUUGCUGCUGCUGUUGAUCAAUUGGGAAUCAGAAAUCCUUGCCGAUUUACUGCAAAUCACCUAGAGAACAACUUUUUGCACAAUCCCUAUCCCAAGUCAUGAUUCCAAGGAACCAGGCUAAGAUAUUUUCUCUGUCCCACCUUCUUUUCUCUCCAGUUCUGUUGUCUUCUGUCCACCCCCCCCACUCUUCUGCCUUCUUUCCUCUUUCACUCAUGUAUGAACUAACUGAUGUCUGAUCUAUUCAGUAAUUCGGCCCUAAAAAGUAACCUUCAGUUAACUGCUCACAUAACUUGCCUGUCACUUUUGAUCACAGUCAGGGCAUUGUUUUUGCAAGUGUUCUACAGUAAAAAUUACCCGCUUUGCUCUUGUCAAGCAAAUGAGCCCCGAGGCUUAUGUGAAAACCAUUAAUGAUCAAGCCACGGGAGGGACUGGAGCAGUGGGCAUUUUGUGGCUUUGGAAUCCACCCUUCCCUCCCUCCUGAGCCAUUUAGGUUUAAUUAACCUUCAUUAGCUGACAUGGGGAUAUCGCUUGCCUUGAUGUCCAAUUGCAGGGAAUCAGUUUUGACUGCUGAUCACUAGGGAUGCUGCUGUUCCUGUGUGGGUACCCAGGCAGGAAUAUGUCUGUGGAACAGAAAUAAACGAUGACUAAUAUGCUUCAGAAUACCAGCCUUGGGCUUUGGAAGCCAUUCCCAGCUGCCGAAAAAGUUAUUGAUAGAACAAAACAACAGGCAUGCACUCAUACGCUUUUUUUUUCUUCCUCUCACUGCCAUGGUGCGAUUCUGAAAACCAUUUCACCAUUGUUAUAGGAAUAAAUUAUGGGCAUGAUUUGACCAUAAUAAAGUAAUUCUAAGUCAUAAUAAUACAGAAUGUAAGGAUCAGACCAAGGGCCUAGACCAGCACAGGAUCCUGUUCUCACAAUCCCAUUGAUUAGAGAAUUGCAGCUCAAUUCUACCCAGUCCCCUUACAGAACUUACUUCCAAGUAAGUGAGCAUAGAAUUGUGCCUUUAAGCACAUAUUUAACUCCCCAGUUUAAAUCAAUGGGACUGCACUUUGGCCAGAUCAUUGUUAUUUUUAUUAAAUCCCAUUGGCCAUGGUAGGGUUUGUUAGUUAGUAUUCCAAAUCUAGACUCCACACCAUGGAAACUAACAGCAGACAUACACAAAAGGGAAGAGGAAAUGUUGCAAAAAUAAAACAAAAACCAAGAUUACAUAAAAUCACGGAUACCAUAACACAAGAGUACAGUCCAUUUCCCUCUCAGAUUUUCUGCUGAAAGCAAACAAAGUCGACCUCCUAAUUCUCACUGGAUUCUCAAGCAAAAACUGAUGGGCUUUGGCUUUGAGCAUAGCUGUAUCGACAAGCAAAGAGCUAAGAUAAUUUCCCCUUUCUGGGGCAUAGAUCUUAGAAGGCAAGCCACAAGUCCUGGUCUGGCUAAAGUUAGUUCUGUUGUAAGUCGCAUUGAAACGAAUGGAACAAAUUAAUAGUGACCAUUUCCUUCCAUUGCUUAACUGGAGCUCACUUUAGCCGGAUCAGAACUCUCAGCUGAAAUCCUAGUCUGUUAAAGUUAGUGAGAGAUUUUUUUGUGGAGCAAGAUUUCAUGUCUCCCAAUUCUUCUCCUUUCAAAUAGCCCUGACUGAUAGUUUCUCCAAAAUAAAAUGCAUCCAACCUCUGGUUCAUGCACGCAUUGAGGCUUAGAUGUCAAACCCAUUAAUAUUAGGCGGGCACCUAUGCUGCAUUGUUUUUGGCAACUGCUAAACACUUUUUUUUUGUUUAGACAAGUCUACCAAGACAUGUAACUUUAACAUGCAAUUUUAACACACCAUAGGUAGGUAGGUAGGUCAAAUUUAUGUCAAUUUGUUUUCAAUGUUUGAUUUUUGUUUUGUAUUUUAAAUGACAAAUUGAUAUGGCUUUUGCAAGAUGCUUAGAGGUUUUCAAAAUUAAGAGGUAUAUAAAUUUUGUCAUAUAUGAGAAUUUCACUUUAAACUGAAAAAAAUAAUUACUAGUAGGAUUAGGUAAAGGUAAAGGGACCCCUGACAGUUAAGUCCAGUUGUGAACGACUCUGGGACUGUGGCGCUCAUCUCGCUUUACAGGCCGAGGGAGCCGGCGUUUGUCCGCAGACAGUUUUUCUGGGUCAUGUGGCCAGCAUUACUAAGCCGCUUCUGGUGAACCAGAGCAGCGUAUGGAAAUGCUGUUUACCUUCCCGCUGGAGUGGUACCUAUUCAUCUACUUGCACUUUUUGGCGUGCUUUCGAAUUGCUAGGUUGGCAGGAGCAGGGACUGAGCAACGGGAGCUCACCGCGUUGCAGGUAUUCGAACCACUGAUUGUGGUUCUGAUUGGCAAGUCCAAGUGGCACAGUGGUUUAAAGCACAGUGCCACCUGCAUCCCAAAUAAGUAGGAUUAAUAUGCCUCAAUAAAGACAAAUUUGGGAAGAGAAAUAAUUUCAAUUGUUUCUGUUAUGAAAGGAAAAGAUGGCAUCCGAAGAAAGUUGAAGUUUGCACCCAGCUGUGUAUACAGGAAGUCUGGAUGGAAAUACAGGAGUUUCAGCAUACUGUGGUAAGCAGGUGCUCCUGUGCAUGCAUCAAGGGGGAAUGAGAAGUAGACCAUCUCUAUGGGGAAAGCUGAGCACAUAGGCCAAUGAAACAUUCCCUGCAUUUAUUCCUUGUUAUCCAAGAAACUCUCACUCGGCCUUAAAUACACCUAACUUGGUCUUGUAAUAACCAAGUGGUUAAACAAUGAAUCCUGGACACUUAAUGCACCAGAGUUCCUUAGACUGUAGAACAACACACGUUCAUUGUGUCGUAUGCAUUUAAAUAAGAACAUUAUUUUGGAAAAGUACCAAGCAGUAUUCCUUGGCACAUCCCAUUGAGACCAAUGGAAUUUAAAAUUGAGAUUGCAGUGUGCUGCUGCUGCUGCUGCUGCUGCUGCUGCUCUCUCUCUCUCUCUCUCUCUCUCUCUGAUGCUUAUUAUUUUUGACACUUUGAUUGGUCCUGGUAAAAGGAUGGUCUGACUGUAGCUUUUGGAUUUUUCCUUGGAAGAGAGGUGAGGGCGUCAGCUGUGAACCAGCAUCUAGCCUGGUGAGAAAGCUCCACCCAAAAGAGACUGUCUUAAAACAGGGAUACUUGUGGUCACUUUCAAGAGCAGCAACUCCCAGUAGCAAGAGUUGAGCUAGCUGUUUUAUUCCCCAUUUUACAAUUCAUGUUCAUUUCAAUCUUGCUUUUGGAUUUAGUAUGUUUGAUUGCACCAUUCCAUUGUAAUAUUAAUUUCAUGCUAUGAUGUGUUUGUUGAAGGACUGACUUUGUCUCGUUUGAGUUAGUUUGAUGUGCUUUGUAACAAAUUGCUUUUUCAGAUGUGACGUUCCAUUGUGAUGUUUGUUCGUGAGCCAUUUUGGGCGUCAUCCACAGUGAAAAAAUGGCACAGAAAGAAGCUAAACAAAAUUAGCCUAACUUCAUUGCUUUGAUUGGCUGAGCAAUGUGCAGGGUUUGUUGUUGCUGCUAUGUUUAUGCUAAUGCAUGUAUUUGCAUAAGCUGUUUGUCACUUCUACUUGUAUUAUUGUGAUAAUAAAUCAGUUAAACAAAAGAAAGCACGGGGAAACUAAUCAGCUCAGUGCAAUGACAAUGUAAAAAAGGUAGUGCCAUUGGUUACAAAUGCAAGAAAAGUUCUUGAAAUGGUUCGCUUGGCACUUUUGUUCCUAAUGCUAUCACCGGUGACACUGUUGACAUUUUCAAUGUUCUUCCAAAGAAGAAAGACGGAAAGUGGAAGAAAUGUAAGCCCCUUUCCUUGUAUUAAACAAUGAUGCACAUAUUAGUAGCUGUUUCUUAGGAUAUUUGGGAGUUGAGAUACAUUGCCUUUGCUAAAAUAAUGCAGUACAACAUGAGGCCUAAUAUGUCAUUGGAAAGACUAAUAUUUAAUGUGCCAUAAGCUUUCAUGAGCCAUUUACCUUUGCAUCAGUUGGUGUACCAAAUUUGGUCAGGGAGACUACCUCAUGCAUUUACUAGACUGGGGGGGGGUGUUUAACCAAUGAAAGGUUAUUCCACAUUAAAAGGUUAAUCUAACCAAUGAAAGGUUAUUUCUCAUUAAAUGCAUUAGCCUUUAAGGAAUCCUUAUAGCUGCUUCUAUUCCAGAUGGAAGUGAAUGAAUGAAAUUAUUCACAGAGAAAAUUAAGAUGCUAGCUUGUAUACAUUCCUGUCAUUUCAGUAAUCAGAAAUGUUUGCAAAACUCAUGGUUUAGGCAGGCUUCCAUAGCCUGGUGCCCUCUAGAUGUUUUGGACUCCAACUCCCAUCAUCCCUGAUCAUUGGUCAUACUAGCUGGGGCUGAUGGAUUUUGUAGUUCAAAACACUGGGAAGGUAUCAGGCCAGUGAAUGCAAAUUUAGAAUAUUGUACAAAAUUCUCCCUCUGUCUCCUUUUGCUUCCCCAUCUACAAAUGGGGCUCCUAUUGUGAUGGAGGAUGCAUUACUACUUGAUUCCCAUCCUCCCCCUGGCCUUCCAUAAAUUACCCAUCAAAUGAUUUAUGCCAGGUAUUCUUAAUAUACUUCAAUUUCCUAUCAGUGAAAUGAGAAUACCGUAAUUGUGUCUCAUAAAAAUGGAUCAAUCACAGAACAAGGGUGGCAUUUAUGGAGAGCUGAGACACCGUUCUCCUCAGGUUUCAGAUCACAUACUUUUUUGUUUUUUAGAAAAAAAAAAUCUAAACCAAAAAUUUCUAAAUCUGUAAGUGGUAUGCAUAAAACAAAAUAACAUAAAAUAAUUAUCAAUAAUCGACAAAAAUUGUGUAUAAAUCCCACAUAGAGUGCAUUAUAACAAUCCAUUAUUGAGGUUGCCAGUACCUGGACUACUGUGGUCAAGCUGUCCUGGUCCAAGAACAGUUGUAGCUGUCAUACUAGCUAAAACUGGUAAAAGCAAUUCCUAGCCACCAAGGCCACUUGGGUCUUCAGUGACAAAGCUGGACCAAGGUGGACCCAGGAGCACUCCCAGAUUGUGUAACCUGCUCCUUCAGAGGGACCCCAGCCCCAUCCAGGGUAGGCGUUUGGCCAAUUUCUCAGACAAGGGAACUAACUGCCCGUAGUGUCUCCAUCUUGCCAGGAUUCAAGCUCAGUUUAUUUCCCUUCAUCCAGCCCACCAAUAAAUCCAGGCCCUGGUCCUGGAAUUGUAUGGCCUCCCUCAAUUCAGAUGCUAUGGAGAAAUGAAUGUGUGAGGCAGAGGACAACUGCUCCCACAGCUCCCCUGAAGGCCCUGUAGGCAAAUUAAAAACUUCAGAUAAAUUUGUGCACAGAAACACAAAACCAGCAAUAGGUGUCUGAAUGUAGAGGUUAAAUUAAAGAGAUGUCAUUGCUUUGCUACUCCCUUCCUGCUUUGCUGGCGUGCUGUACCCAUUCAGGAGCAAUAUUCUCUUGGCCUCCUUGCACCAUCUCCUCUCCCUUGCAUUUCAUCUGCACUCUACUUCGACUAAUAAACUCAAGUCUCUUGCCAAGUUGAGAGGUCUCUUGUCUCGGUCUCAUAAUCUCGGCAUCCUUGGCAGGAUGGCAGCAGCAAUCAAUCCCCAUCUUACUGGCAUAAAAACCAACAGAUUAGAGCAAUAAGGAGGUGUUUAGGUACAAGGGCAACCCCCAUCAGCAUUCCACAUAGGUUUGUAGCAUCAACAAAUAUGCUGGGAUCACCUUUCGGGAGUCAACAGAAAGGGCAGAUAUCAUGGCUGACAGUUUAAUUGCUUUCUCUCCCUCUCCUUUCAUGUCUCUCCUUCCAUUCUGAUACCAUCUUCCUUUUUAAAAAAUUGUAGCCACCAGAUGCUUAAGAACUAAUUCUAAUAUUGUUUGUGAUUCAGCAGUACCCAGGGCUCAGAAAAACGAGGAGAAUAAAUUGCUGGCAAAGUGGUCAUUAACACACAUUUACAUAGGUUAAUUACAAGGGAUAAUGAAGGACACUGCUUUUGCUUCUUCAGUGGGAUGCUUGGGCUGCCAGGAUGGACAAUGCAACAAUAGAAGAUUUCUGCACCUCUGCAAGAUACUUUCUGCUCAGUUCUGAAUAACCUGAUAUUAACUAUGGCUCGUCCAACAUGAAAUGCAGAAAUGGUGGUAGAAGCCUCAUAAGUUUUACACCUUUCUCAUUUCUAGGCUAGCUAUACAGGCAAACAUCACAUUUGGCCCUACCUUGUAGUACUUGAGUGGCCAAAUUCAUGCCUUAAGGCUUAAUUCUGACUUUCCUGCCUGUUCUUCCCACUCUAUCAUUGUUCUGGAAUGCAGUUUUCUUAUAUUCUAAUUGUAACUGUUCCUAUUGCUGAGAAUUAAAAUGCCAUGUCUCAGAAAGGAAGAUUUUAGCUGGCGUCUAUUACUCUAUAAGCAAUGUACCCUAUAAACAUAGAGCAAUAGAAUCAUAGAUGUUUAGAGUUAGAAGUCCAGCAUCCUGCAGAAUCUACAGUGUAGAAUGCAACUACAACAUCACUGAGAAAUGGCCAUUCAGGCUCUUCCAGUGAAGUAGAGUCCACCAUCUUCUGAGGUGGUCUGUUCCAAUGUCAACACAUUACCAUUAGGAAGUUCAGUCAAAAUGUCCUCCCUUUCCAUUUCCACAACUUAGUUAUUGUCCUGCUCCCCGCAGGAACAGAGAACGAGUCUGUCCCAUCUUCUGUAUGAUACGUAUUUGAAAUUAGAUACGUAUUUGAAAUUACUGCCAUGUCUUCCAUUAACGGUCUCAUCUCUGACCUAAAUAUACCAAACACUUUCAACUGUUCCUAAUAAGCCUUAGUUCCAGGGACCCCUAACCACCCUAGCUGCCCUCCUCUGGGCAUGUUUCAGUUGGUCAAUGCUCUUCUUAAAAUGUAGCAGCCAGAAUUGGACACACUACAGAUGCAGUGCAAAAUAGAAUGGAAAUAUUUCUUCUUGUGAACUGCAACACACUUUUGUGAAUGUCACUUUGGAUUUACAGUUCUGAGUUCACUUUUUGCCACUGCAGACUUCCAAUAUUAGCAAAUACAGGAUGCUAUCACCCUACUCUUGUGACUGAUUUCACAUGGAGCCAUGAACAUGGAAUGGGAAGCCACUCAUUCUGGUGUUUCAUGUGUAUGCUGACACAUUCUAGAUGGCCUGGAUUGAAAACACUGAUCUUUACAUCUUAUGGAAAUAUGUUCAUUUUUUUAGCUUGGAAGGCACAAAUUAAUUUCCAAUUACAGAACUACUUUGUAUGACUGAAGGGUUCCUUACCAUAUCAGAUUUAGAUAGGCAUCAUUCUGCUUUUAGCUUGUAUAUAAACUAUUACUAUCAAUGUCAUAAUUAAGAUAUUAUAUAUCAUAUAGUGAUCAAAGCAUAAUGACUAGAAAAGGGGGGGGGGAAUAUGGUCAUGACUGUAUGGAAGGUACUUACAUAAAGGAAACUUAGGAGAGGGAUAAAAUGGACUAUAAAUGCUAUAUUAUAGUUUCUUAAUGCUUUUUCAUGAUUUAUUUGAUCCUUCUACAAUGUAAUCACAUUUCAAGCCACUCUCAUUUCCAAAAUAGAUUUCCCAGGGACAAGACCAAAAAAUGUGUGUUCUUUUUAUUUGGGGUAGGAAGACAUGAAAUGGAACACAGGACAACUGCACCUGAAAGAAUUGUAUUUAAGAAGGCCCUGCUAGAUUUCAGAUAUACUUCAUUCAAAUUAUCUGAAAUUUGUCCAGAUCAUAUCCCUUGCCAGAUACAGUCUGCAUCCCAAAUUUGCCUCACUAAUAUAUCAGCCAUUUCUCCACAUUGAAGUUUUGCUAACUUUUUGCUAUAAAUGAUUGAUUACAUGAUUGAGAAUUUCACAGUUCCUGAGCUAAGGAAGGAGCAAUUAUGAAUAAAACAGAAAGGAAGGAGAUUUCUAGAACUUUGGGUAAAUUGCAGCCAAAGAUGAGCACUUUUGUGUCCCACUGAUUUAAACAGCAAGAGUUACUCAUCCUUUUGGGCAAGAAAAAGAUACGGUGUCAAAAGUGCCUGAUUUAAAGAGCAAUUCUUUUUGUGGUAUUCUUGCCAUAAUGGUAGCUUUCGCCCAUUUGCACAACAGAAAGCAUAAGAAGAUAAGAUGAGCCUGCUGGAUCAGGCCAAUGGCCCAUUUAGCUCAGCAUCCUGUUCUCAUAGAAGCCACCCAGAAUGGUGCUAGAAAUAAGUCAACACAAUAAAUCUAUCUUUCUUUGCCUGCAUCAACCGACCAUCUUUGAUUUCAAGCCCAGAGCACUGGGGAUUUUCUGAAAGCAUUACAAUAAGAUCUGUUUAUAUCUCAGGCAACAUAUUUCACCCCAUGCUAUGCAAGGGGUUCCUCCUCCUCCUUGUGCUUGUGUUUUGUUUUUAACAUGCCCAUUGGGUUUCAUUACAAAGUCAGCUCCAAGUCAGUGGUUUGAGAAAUAUUUUUGUAUGCAGGAUGAAGUGUGAAAACAAAUUGGGGGAUCCAGGCUAUGAGGACAUGGGAAAGAUGAGACGGAGGUGUUUCACAGGCGACAGUUUGAUGGUAGAAAUUUAUGUACAUAUCUUUGAAUUCUGUAAUAAUAAUUCAUGCAUCCCAACGGGUGUGUGUUUAUUCUUCUUUGUUUCUUUUUCUGAAAAACAAUGAGUUACCUGAAUUUAGGAUUAGUAACAGUGCCACACUGCAGGCAGAUGCUAAGCAAGUGUACACAUACAGAACUAUCAAAUAUCAUUGUUUCACAUCAUGUGUGUUUGAUUCGUGCGAGAGCUUUUGGCAAAUAUUUUGAUAUCUCAGAGUCAGGAUCUCAGAGGGUUCUGUUGCUGGACUACAUCUAACACUGAAGGGAAGAAAAACUCUGAGCAGUGUGAACCGUGUCAUGCCUCAACUGUUGUUGUGAACUCGCCAUGCCUGUUUAGCCUAAUUAGAAUCCAAACAUUUGGGAUGUCUUUGAAACUCAUACACAAACCCACUGAUGAUCCAAUGAACUUUGCCUCUAUUAAGCUUAACUGACACAUUAGCUGACAGUUUGGUUUUCAUGCAUGGGAAAGUCAUUCAUCUUGUUAAAAAUUAAAUUAUAUUAAAUUAAAGUAUAUUUUCACCUGUGAAUGUACAUAUUCCUCCCUCCCCAGGUCAAUGCACUGAGGGGUCCAGGAGCCUUAGACCACUCUUACUAAAAUCUUACUCUAAAAAGACACAGGGAACAAUGAUUGUUGCUGCUAAUCAGUGUGAAGUAAGAGAUAUAAGAAAGAGAAGAAACCAACCACAAAGUUCACAUGCCUUCCCAGAGUUUCCCAGGAAGAGGGAUUGAUUAUUAAACCACUCUGGGAAUUGUAGCUGUGUGAGGGUAAUAGGAGCCUAUCAACCACUCUCAGCACCCUUAACAAACUAUAGCUCCCAGGAGUCUUUGGGAGAAACCACCAUAACAGUUUAAAGUGGUUUGAUACUGCUUUAAACUGAAUGGGGUAACUGUGCCCCUGAAGGACCAGGUGCGCAGCCUGGGAGUCAUUUUGGACUCACAGCUGUCCAUGAGGCGCAGGUUAAUUCUGUGUCCAGGGCAGCUGUUUACCAGCUCCAUCUGGUAUGCAGGCUGAGACCCUAUCUGCCCACGGACUGUCUCGCCAGAGUGGUGCGUGCUCUAGUUAUCUCCCGCUUGGACUACUGCAAUGGCUCUACGUGGGGCUACCUUUGAAGGUGACUUGGAAACUACAACUAAUACAAAAUGCAGCAGCUAGGCUGGUGACUGGGAGUGGCCGCUGAAACCACAUAACACCGGUCUUGAAAGACCUACAUUGGCUCCCAGUACAUUUCCGAGCACAAUUCAAAGUAUUGGUGCUGACCUUUAAAGCCCUAAACGGCCUCAGUCCUGUAUUCCUGAAGGAGCAUCUCCACCCCCAUCAUUCUGCCCGGACACUGAGGUCCAGCACUGAGGGCCUUCUGGUGGUUCCCUCACUGCAAGAAGCCAAGUUACAGGGAACCAGGCAGAGGGCCUUCUUGGUAGCGGCACCCGCCCUGUGGAACGACCUCCCACCAGAUGUCAAAGAGAAGAACAACUACCAGACUUUUAGAAGACAUCUGAAGGCAGCCCUCUUUAGGGAAGCUUUAAAUGUUUAACAGACUACUGUAUUUUAAUAUUUUGUUGGAAGCCGCCCAGAGUGGCUGGGGAAACCCAGCCAGAUGGGUGGGGUAUAAAUAUUAAAUUUAUUAAAUUUAUUAUAUUAUUAUUAUUAUUAUUAUUAUUAUUAUUAAAGGUAGAUGGCAGGUUAGAGGAGUGUGUGUGUGUGUGUGUGUGUGUGUGCAUAUAUCUUUGGGAAAGCUAAUCCCAUCCUAGAGUUUCCAAAGGGCUCCCACAUCUCCUUCCCCACUGCCUAUCAGCAGGGCAAAUUUCUCUUUCAGCGAUGCUUGGUUGUUGGAAAAGAUGUCAAUGAAAGGAUGCAGAAUUCAUUUUAAAGAGAGCUGUUAAGAAUUUUUUUGACAUUUGACAUGUGGAAAGGUUACCACACACAACGUUUCCCUCCUUUCUUUCCCCUCAUUUCCCUCUUGUCAGUCAUAGUCAAGCCUGGCUGCAUUAUUCCCAUUGAAUGACUUAUUAUUAUUUUUUAGAUACUCACCCUUGAAGAUGAUGCAAAAAGUGCAUGUUCAACAUAUUGCCUGGCUGCAAAACCAAACCAUUGCCUUCUUCUUGAUUUGAGAGCAGGGUAGAAAAGGAACAAUAUCCCAUGGUUCCACUCAGAUUACUGAGAAGGUCUUUUUAAAAGUGCAACCAUUGCUUGCAGCACUCAGUCAACUGCCUUAAGACUUGAGAAGUCUACCUUUUCCCACUGCAAAUGCAAAUAUCUGCUUCACAAAUCCUUUUCCUUUCCACUGCAAAAAGGAAAACGGGAAAGCAGCUGGAUCUACUAAAGGCUCUGUGAUCUGCUCCUCAGCUUAGAACCUCAGGUGGCUGGGAGGCCCAGAAUCCAGCAGGGGCUGCAAUGGUCUCUAGCUUUCCUCCUCCUCUUUGUUGUUUCUGCCUCUUCCACUGCCCAUUCAAGCGUUCAAGAAGUGACAAGAUUAAACAGGAGCAACAGCCUCCACUUGCCUUGCUAUUUCCUCCCAGGCAAUGAAGCUCACCUGUAUUUGGCUCCUUUCAAACACAGGUGAAAUCUGUGAUCUAGUUGAAUGGCUUUCCAAGGAUAAAUCCACAAAGCACAUCCAGUGCAUGUUCAAAGCGCAGUAUGUCUCCCCAAAGAAUCCUGGGAGAAUCCUGGGUUCACAGAGCUAUGAUUUCCAGCAUGUAUAAUAAACAAUAUCUCCUAGAAUUCCUUGGGAUAAGUCAUUUGUUUGGAAUGCACGGUGGGGACCUGCCCCAAGAAGUAUGCAGUCAUAUUACCUCUUAAGAAAUCAGUGUGAGGAAUGGUGAGAUUCAGCUCAGGGGGAAGAACAAAAAUCUGAUUGUAUUUAAAUUUUAGCUGCCUAUGGUCACAUCUUAAAGGAGAGGAAUAAAAAACGGCAGGGCAGAAACUGGAAUUGUGACCCACAAGAGUUUUAUAUUAGUAAAUUAAGGACAAAUGAGAUUUGGAGGUAUGACCUAGCAGGCAAUGAAAUGUAUUACCAAGACUUUAAUCCUUAGACCUUCUGUCAAAUAGUUUGUGAAUUAUUUUCUGGUUCCAUGCAGAAAUCCAUAAGAAGAGUCCUGUUGAAAGAGACUGAUCCAGAAGUCCAGAGUCCUGCUUCUCACACUGCCCCAUAAGGAGGACUUGAGAGCAAUAACCACCUCCUGCCGUUGUCCCCCAAUGACAGGUACUUAAAGGAAUGGUGCCUCCUGUAUAUCUUGAGAAGGUCUCUCCUCCUGAUUUUGAAUCCAAAGUCUAUAGGGAUUUGAUCGGGGGGGGGGUUAUUUGGAAGGAGUAGCUAAUACCUUUCACAUAUUCAAAGAGGGAAAGGGAAUAGACAAACUAGGGAAUGGAUAAUCUACAGUGUCUGAAAAAAUAAGGAAGCAAAUGGUAACUGCUAAGGGCUGUGCAUCGGCUUUGCAUGUACCUCAGAUGAUGAGGUGAACGGGGUGAUUUGGAGCAGACGUGCACAUUUUCUGAGUUGGAUCACACUAUUGGCAGGUCAUGCUGAAGUGGAUCAGGGAGUCCUCAACCUUCUGAGUGUUGGUUUCUGCUUUCCUUCACUGUGCAGCUCUGCUUGUCACGAGACAGGUGUUUACAUUCCACAGUCUGUACUGUUGGAGUUUCUCACGGGAAAGGGAGACUGGAUGUGACGUACACUGGUUUCCUGGUUUUCUCUGUGUGAUUCUCUCCGAGCUGUCGAGGAGAGAGGAUGCAUUUUCUGCUCCGGCAGAGGCAAGAUGUCUUUCUGUAAUAUACCAGCUUUGAACUGUAAAUAAAGCAAUAAAGAGUAUGCAGCACAUAUUCCUCAUCCUUCCGCUGGGCACAAGACUCUGCUUUAAAUCAACACGUGGUUAUGGGCCCAGAGGUCGAAUCGGAGUGCCGGCAAAGGAUCGGAAUGCAGAGGGACAGAUCGGAACGGAAUCUGCUCUGCGCGUAGAGGUGAUUGAUGAGGUAUGUGCUACUGCUCCGGGCAGCCUGCCAGCUUCAAGUUAAUGGCUUUAUGGCUGGACUUUGAACUUUUAAAGCCGGUUUUGCCGGGAAUAGGCAAAAGGCUCCCAGGCACAAGUCACUAUGCUGGGGAAAUCGAAAGUAACUUUUAAGUGUGCCUUUGUAAUAAGGCAGCUGCAGCAGUGACGCAGCAAGAAUUAAAGCAGCAUAUAUAUGACGCUGAAGGCUAAUGCCAGAGUCAUGAUGGCCCUUCAGGAUGCUUGUGGGAUUCCUAAGCUCAACAAGAAGUGCAUCAUCACAAAGAAAAAUGAUUAUGUAUUGCAUGCAGAAUAUGUUGAUCAUUUGUUUGUUUUGUAUUAUGAUGAUGUGGUGCAGGAUGACACUUGUUGCAUUGCAGGUUCUAACAAAAGUUUGCAUGCAGAAUGUAUUCACGAUUUUCAUCGAAAAUUUGGUCAUUUGCAUUUUGAGGCAGUAUCUAAAAUGCCUGCCUUGGUUGAAGGUAUGACUAUCAAACCCUGCAGGUACCACAUGAAGUGCAAAGCAUGCGCAGCAAACAAGGUGAAAAUGGCUGCGAAAGGUAAGGUGUCUAGUAGGAAAGCUACAGAACCAUACCAGGUUGUUCAUGCUGAUUUGGUUGGACCACUAGCGCCCUCUUUGGGUGGAAAUAGAUACUUCAUGGUUCUCAUUGAUGCAUUUUCUAGAUAUAUUUUUGUGUACAAUCUCAAGCAGAAAUCGGAGGCUUUUCCUAGGUUCAAGGAAUUCUGUGCUUGGUUGGAAAAUGUGCAUGGUAAGAAGAUAAAGACUCUUUUCAGUGAUCGCGGGGGGGAAUUCACUUCUCAGCAGUUUGAAGCUUUUCUGACUGAGAAAGGAAUUCAACACGAUUUGUCUAGUCCUCGCUCGCCAUGGCAGAAUGGACUUGCGGAACGGGCAAAUCAGACAUUGCUUCAAGGGUUAAAAGCCUUGCUGCAUGAUGCCAAUCUUCCAGAGAGUUAUUGGGCCGAAUCUCUCUCGUGUUUUGUUUACAGUUACAAUCGCAGGUUAUCUUCAGCGAUUGGUUGUACUUCUAUGAGAAGAUGUUUGGCAAGAAGCCAUACAUCAAACACAUGAAGAUUUUUGGUUCUGACAUGUGGGUUCGCUCACCACAAAACUCCAAGUUAGACAAGCGUGGACUGCAUGGUAUCUUUCUAGGUUAUCAGAAAGGGUCUUACAGAAUAAUGAUGACUGACUCUAAGACAAUUAAGCUCACGAGAAGUGUUGAGUAUAAUGCAAAGUGGGGGGAGAAUGUGGGAAUUUUCCAAUGUUAUCCUGAUGACGGUAAUGAGACUGAGGAUAGUCAAAAGCAACCACAACAGCCCACACCCACUGAUGAAGGUUCUGAGUCUGAAUCUGAAACUGAAUCGGGUGAUUCAGAGGAUUUCGAGAGUGCGAAAGCCUCUAUGCGACCCUCUGAAAGCUCUGAUCAAGAAUUGGAGGAACCAUUGUUCACAAUAGGUCGUUUUCUCCUAAGAAGGAAGAGGAGAGUGUUGAAGACUUAAGGCUAAUUCGUAGGUCACAGAGAGCCACAAAAAGCAAACCUCCAAAGAGAUUUGCUGAUGAGUUUGCUACGAUAGCAGUAACAGCUGUUAAAAGCUCCAAGAAGGUAUUUGAACCUUCAAGUUUCCAAGAAAUCCAGGGUUUGGAUUCAAAGGAAGCUGAGCCAUGGUUAAAUGCCAUGAAGGCUGAGCUUGAUUCCUUAGAAAGGAACAAAACAUGGGAGCUAGUUCCAGUAGUUCCAGGAAUGAAACUGCUUGGAAGCAAAUGGGUCUUCAAAGCGAAGACAGAUCAAAAUGGCAAGAUAGUCAGACACAAAGCCAGAUUGGUAGCCAGAGGUUUUGCACAGGUACCAGGUCAAGACUAUCACGAGACCUAUUCACCCACAGUGAGAUAUGAAAGCAUUAGGCUUAUGCUCAAGCUAGCUGCAGAGGAAAAUCUACACAUUAGUCACCAUGAUAUUAAUACAGCUUUUCUGUACGGAUCUCUAGAUGAAUCACUUUAUAUGCUUCCACCUGAUGGCGUACAGGUAAAACAGGGAUUUGUUUGUGCUCUGAAGAAAUCCCUUUAUGGUCUCAAACAAAGUGCACGGUGUUGGCACACAAAACUCACUGAAGUAUUGUUUUCUCUAGGUUUUCAGCAAGGAAAGCUGAUCCAUGUGUAUUUGUCAAAGAGGAGGGGCAAAAGAAACUGUACUGUUUGUUUUAUGUUGAUGAUUUAUUAUUCUUUUGGAAAGAUGUCGCAAUGUACAAUAACGCCCUAGCUCAACUGAAAGAGCACUUUGACAUGAAAGAUCUUGGUGAGGUAAACAACUACCUAUCUCUGGAAAUAGAGAGAGAUCAAGAUGGUAACAUUCUAGUACACCAGUCACGGAAAAUUGCUGAUGUGUUAAGCAAACUAAAUCUGAUGGAUGCUAACCCUGUAGACACACCGAUGACAACAGGUUAUCAGGUAGAUGACACUGAAGAAGCAUUUUCUGACACUACACUGUACAGGAGUGUGCUAGGCAAGCUAAACUUCAUUGCCAGAUGUUCAAGACCAGACAUUGCUGUUAGCUGUAAUUUGCUAAGCAGACAAGUCAACAAUCCUAGUGUCAAGCACUGGAAAGCUCUGAAACGCAUAGCGCGGUAUUUGAAAGGCACUAUGCAUUACAGACUGAGAUUUAACAAUCAGAAGUCUGGUGGUCUUGAGAUAUUUGCAGAUGCAAGUUUUGGAAGUGACGCUACAGACAGGAAAGGUACGUCUGGAGUUUGCUACAUGUACAAUCAGAGUCUGUUUGAUUGGUCAUGCAAGAAGCAAACAACAGUUAGCUUAAGUACUUGUGAAGCUGAACUGAAUGCACUGUCUUAUUCACUUAAGGAUUGUGAAUGGUUAGUACAAUUGUGCAAAGAUAUGAAAAUUCCUGUCAAAUGUCCAAUCCAGGUUUACCAGGACAACAAAGCAUGUUUGGCUUUGCUGAAGUCUGAAGGUUGUAAGCAAAGCACAAAGCACUUGCAAUUAAAGUUGCAGCAUGCUAGGGAAUGUAUUCAGAAGGGACUCGUAACGGUGUCCUAUAUGCCAGGUAAUAAAAUUCCUGCUGAUGUAUUGUCCAAGAUUGUAUCGAGGGAUCAACACUGUACCUAUGUGCAGAAGUUGGGUUUGUACUGAUACUGUACGAACACGCUGCCCAGUGAUGUUCACAGAAAGGGGGAGGAUGUUGGUUUCUGCUUUCCUUCACUGUGCAGCUCUGCUUGUCACGAGACAGGUGUUUACAUUCCACAGUCUGUACUGUUGGAGUUUCUCACGGGAAAGGGAGACUGGAUGUGACGUACACUGGUUUCCUGGUUUUCACUGUGUGAUUCUCUCCGAGCUGUCGAGGAGAGAGGAUGCAUUUUCUGCUCCGGCAGAGGCAAGAUGUCUUUCUGUAAUAUACCAGCUUUGAACUGUAAAUAAAGCAAUAAAGAGUAUGCAGCACAUAUUCCUCAUCCUUCCGCUGGGCACAAGACUCUGCUUUAAAUCAACACUGAGUAGCUCUAUUGCCUAGUUCCCCUCCCCCCCCGAAAGUUAACUGCACAUCCGUUCUCUCGUUUUCUUCUCAAAGAAAUGUAACCAAUCUGACUGCAGAAAUGCACAGAGCCUGGGAGAGGAUGGGAUGAAGAGAUGGACAGGUCUAGUUUUCAAUUACUGUGAAUUAGUUUCCCAGUACAUGCCAACCACAGUGGAUUUUUUUGGGAAGGAUGCUGAAGUAAAGAAACAGAGUUGUUCUUCAGGUGGGUCAUCAUUCCCCAAAUUUUGGCUGUGAGAGCUGGGGUUAAGUGACGGAGGUAGGCUAUUGAAGUGACCUGCUUCUUUCCAAUCAUUCUUUUUCCUAACACACAGUUCAAAAUUAUUCAUCUCCAUAUCCUUAGAAAGGGCAGCUAUGCCUGCAGUAUGCAUCCAAUUCUUGCAGAAAAUUAAAAAAAAAAAUCCUCCCCCCCCCCCGCUUUAAAACCAGGUUCCCUGCACAGAAAAAACCCUGGAUGGAUCUGUCUAAACAUUGGCAGUUAUAAUUUGUUAUUACAACAGUUCUUUGGCCUGCAAAUCUUAUCCUAUUAUGCAGAAAGCAGAAAAAGAGGGGGGGAAGGUUAAGGGUGUGUUUAGAUUCCCCAUUAUAAUCAACAGAGGUGAAGCACAGCUUUGAUUUAACAGAUCAGAUUCAGGCCCAGAUAAUGAAUCGAUUCAGAAUGGAUCCAAAACGGACCAGGCUGCUCCCAGAUACUACAGGUACAGAUACAAAGACACACUCCUCAUAAUUACUAUAGCAAGUUUCAAGUGGAAAUCUGUACAGAAAGAAAUACCAGUGAAUUAUUAACACAUACUUUCACAUAAACAAGUUUACUGGCAUGUAAACUUGGAUGGCAGCAGUUUCAAACAUAUACUGUAGUUACAUUCUAUCACAGUGAAGUGGAUGCAAGCCCAUUGAAACUAAUGGACCUUAAGCAGACAUAAUUUUGUGUUAGACUGCAGUCUUCAUUUCCUGCAAUAACUUUUCAUUUGCCUUGCUUACUUGUCUGUGAGCCGGCUUGUGCUUAAUAACAUUUUUGUUCUCAACAGCAACAACAGAGCAGUGAAAAGACUCUUCUGAACUGUGUUGCUGGGGUCUCAGGUGGCUCAUUUUGAAGGCCUUCACAUCUUUAAGGCUACACUCAACUUUAUCCUUUCCAUGUAUGAACAGAACCUAUCGUUGCUGCUACUAUAAGAUAAUCAAUGUGACAGGUCAGCUUGCUGUUGUUCGUCUUGUAUUCCCUGGUAAAGUUAAGCAGCUGCAUUGUCGAUCACAAAUUGUCAUUUGAAGAAUAAAAUAAAAUCACAUGCCACCUG